rnacentral:lncRNA from 1 species
AUGGAAACGAAAGUGUUCAUCUGUGUUCUGUGUGCCUGUUUGGUAACACUCUUAGUGCAUAAGACAUCACCAGCCCUAAUAAAUGAAGGCAUAUUUCUAUUAUACAAACCCUCUCAGCAAGGUCCUGAAGAUCCUGUUAAUGGAAGUAAUUACGAGCAGAUGACUAACCAUACCUUAAAUACAAAUACAACCCAAGAAAGUAUUCUGGAAAAGACCAUUGCGCCGAACCUUGCAGAGAACGAUGGGAAACAAAACUACACACAAGUCUCAAACACAACUCAAGGGUUACAAAAUCCCGAAGACAACUAAUGAUAAAAGACAAAAAAAGAACUGGAAAACAACCUGUUAAACAGUCAACCCUGAUGAAAUGGCAUGCUUUAAUGUUUGUUGAACAAAUUACCUUUGUAUUGUACACUGUGAAAAAUGCCAUACUCCAAUAGUCUCCAAUACUAAAAAAAAAUUUUUUUCUUGAAACUACAUAAAAACCCUUGUCAGUACAACAAAAUUACCCCAAAUGUUGCCCCAACUGAAGGCCCAUAUAGUGAAGUGUUUAACAGUUUUCUUUCACCAGAACGAUGGGAAACAAAACUACACACAAGUCUCAAGCACAACUCAAGGGUUACAAAAUCCCGAAGACAACUAAUGGUAAGUCAAAGUUUCAUGCUGUUCAAGUACAACACAUAAAAUUGCUUAGUUUUUUCAUGUUAUUUGUGAAAAGUUGUUUAACUCUCUUUUUUUCCUCAGAUAAAAGACAAAAAGAGAACUGGAAAACAACCUGUUAAACAGUCAACCCUGAUGAAAUGGCAUGCUUUAAUGUUUGUUGAACAAGUUACCUUUGUAUUGUACACUGUGAAAAAUGCCAUACUCCAAUAGUCUCCAAUACUAAAAAAAUUUUUUUUUCUUGAAACUACAUAAAAACCCUUGUCAGUACAACAAAAUUACCCCAAAUGUUGCCCCAACUAGUCAAACACAGUUGUCUGAACAAAGAAUUUCAUAUUGUUGAAAUGUUAAGGCUUUGUGAGUUCCCAGCAUGCAUUGCAGCAUGAAUAAAUUAUGCAGUUACUGUUAUAGGAUUAUUGUUUUGCUGUUUGCUGACUUCAUAAAAAAAUUUCUGUUGUUGUUUUAUCAUUAUUGUUAGUUAUUUAUUGUAUUGUGAUGUAAAGAGUUCAUCUUUUUAACAUUUGUUGGCUGUCACCAUUCUUAAGGUUAGUGUGUCUAGUUUUGAGGCCUAGAGUAUGCUCGCACAAUUUUACCCAUAAUGUGCAGGAGAUUGUCGCCGCCGCCGCCGCCUGUAAUACCAUGUUGUAGCUGGAGCAGAUCCAAUACGUAAUGGAUGUUUGACGAGCAUGCGCAGAUAUUGGAUGAUAGGGUUGUCAUUGAAGCUAGUAUUUAGUGUAAAUUAGACUGUAAUUUCGAGAUAUAGGUAUGUUUCAUAGAUUUACACAAAUUAUAUUAUACUGUGAUUUUAAACAAGUAGCGUAUUCAAACUUUAUUUAAGCGACGAUGGCUAGUUUUGAAUGAAAGGGUACGUAAGC